rnacentral:ncRNA from 1 species
GGGUGAGGACGACCUCACACCUUCAUGACACCGGUAGGGACGGCCCUG